UACAGGGGGUGCAAACGUUGCUCGGAAUUAUUGGGCGUAAAGCGCGCGUAGGCGGCUACUUAAGUCGGAUGUGAAAGCCCCUGGCUCAACUGGGGAAGUGCACCCGAAACUGAGUGGCUUGAGUGCGAAAGAGGGUCGCGGAAUUCCCGGUGUAGAGGUGAAAUUCGUAGAUAUCGGGAGGAACACCGGUGGCGAAGGCGGCGCUCUGGGCUGGAACUGACGCUGAGGAGCGAAAGCGUGGGGAGCGAACAGG
rnacentral:rRNA from 1 species